rnacentral:rRNA from 1 species
GAUGAACGCUGGCGGCGUGCCUAAUACAUGCAAGUCGAGCGAAUGGAUUAAGAGCUUGCUCUUAUGAAGUUAGCGGCGGACGGGUGAGUAACACGUGGGUAACCUGCCCAUAAGACUGGGAUAACUCCGGGAAACCGGGGCUAAUACCGGAUAACAUUUUGAACAGCAUGGUUCGAAAUUGAAAGGCGGCUUCGGCUGCCACGUAUGGAUGGACCCGCGUCGCAUUAGCUAGUUGGUGAGGUAACGGCUCACCAAGGCAACGAUGCGUAGCCGACCUGAGAGGGUGAUCGGCCACACUGGGACUGAGACACGGCCCAGACUCCUACGGGAGGCAGCAGUAGGGAAUCUUCCGCAAUGGACGAAAGUCUGACGGAGCAACGCCGCGUGAGUGAUGAAGGCUUUCGGGUCGUAAAACUCUGUUGUUAGGGAAGAACAAGUGCUAGUUGAAUAAGCUGGCACCUUGACGGUACCUAACCAGAAAGCCACGGCUAACUACGUGCCAGCCGCCGCCGUAA